ACGAACGCUGGCGGUGUGCUUAACACCUGCAAGUCGAACGGAAAGGCCCUGCUUUUGUGGGGUGCUCGAGUGGCGAACGGGUGAGUAACACGUGAGUAACCUGCCCUUGACUUUGGGAUAACUUCAGGAAACUGGGGCUAAUACCGGAUAGGAGCUCCUGCUGCAUGGUGGGGGUUGGAAAGUUUCGGCGGUUGGGGAUGGACUCGCGGCUUAUCAGCUUGUUGGUGGGGUAGUGGCUUACCAAGGCUUUGACGGGUAGCCGGCCUGAGAGGGUGACCGGCCACAUUGGGACUGAGAUACGGCCCAGACUCCUACGGGAGGCAGCAGUGGGGAAUAUUGCACAAUGGGCGGAAGCCUGAUGCAGCAACGCCGCGUGCGGGAUGACGGCCUUCGGGUUGUAAACCGCUUUCGCCUGUGACGAAGCGUGAGUGACGGUAAUAGGUAAAGAAGCACCGGCUAACUACGUG
rnacentral:rRNA from 1 species